rnacentral:rRNA from 1 species
GAUGAACGCUAGCGGCAGGCCUAACACAUGCAAGUCGAGGGAGAAGCCCUUUCGGGGGCAGAAACCGGCGCACGGGUGCGUAACGCGUAUGCAACCUACCUUUCACAGGGGGAUAGCCCGAAGAACUUUGGAUUAAUACCCCAUAAUCUUAUUGGAUGGCAUCAUUUGAUAAUUAAAACUGCGGUUGUUAAAGAUGGGCAUGCGUCCUAUUAGCUAGUUGGAGUGGUAACGGCACCCCAAGGCUACGAUAGGUAGGGGUCCUGAGAGGGAGAGACACCACAAUGGUACUGAGACAGGGACCAGACUCCUACGGGAGGCAGCAGUGAGGAAUAUUGGUCAAUGGUCGGAAGACUGAACCAGCCAUGCCGCGUGCAGGAAGAAUGCCUUAUGGGUUGUAAACUGCUUUUAUAUGGGAAGAAUAAGGUGUACGUGUACAUUGAUGACGGUACCAUAUGAAUAAGCAUCGGCUAACUCCGUG